CCCCCAGUAACGGCGAGUGAAGUGGGAAGAGCCCAGCGUCGAACCCGCGAGUUUUGCUCGUCGGGCAUGUGACGUGUGGAUCCUAUCACGCAUGACGAGUCGGCGGCCGCACGUCCUAAUGAUUCAGGCUUUUCCCAUAGAGGGUGUCAGGCCCGUAUCUGGUCGUUCGUCUCGGGUGCAGAUAGGUAUCUUAGAGUCGGGUUGUUUGGGAAUGCAGCCCAAAGCGGGAGGUAAACUUCUCCUGAGGCUAAAUACCAUGGCGAGACCGAUAGCGAACAAGUACCGUGAGGGAAAGUUGAAAAGCACUCUGAAGAGAGAGUUCAAUAGUACGUGAAACUGUUGAGAGGUAAACGGUGAAGGCGUCUCUUCUUUCCUUUCAGAUUCAGUCGCGUUCCUUUCGUCUGGUGGGAGUGGUCGACCUGUUUUAGGCGGCUACCUUGCCGGUGCGGUUGGAAAACGGUGCACUUCUGUUUGGGAUGAGUUACGGCCGAUUAGUCGGGAGCGAGGUGCCUCUCUGGUUGGAGGUUCAACCUUCGGGUAGAGCCAAUACCAGGGAACGCAUGGCCUCUUGGCCGAUUGAAGAAGUGGAACGACAGCUACAGGCGGCUCGUGCUCCUUUCUCUUUUUCUCGAGGUGGGCUACCUCUUCCGAGAAGUGGUUUGCCGUACGGAAUUUGAGUGGGGAUCGCUCGUUCGUCGUUCCCAGCCGGUAGCGUGGGUGCUCUUUACCGACCCGUCUUGAAACACGGACCAAGGAGUCUAACAUGUGUGCGAGUCUUGAGGGUGUCAAACCCGCAGGCGCAAUGAAGGUGAAGGUGGCUUCGGUCUCUGAGGCGUGAUGGGUGUCUUCGGACGCUCCGCACCGCCGUCCCGUCCAAAACAUCCUCGUAUGUUGGGCGGAGAAUGAGCAUACACGUUGGGACCCGAAAGAUGGUGAACUAUGCCUGAACAGGAUGAAGCCAGGGGAAACUCUGGUGGAGGUCCGUAGCGAUUCUGACGUGCAAAUCGAUCGUCGA
rnacentral:rRNA from 1 species